UCCCCGAUAGUCUAGUGGUGAGGAUAUCUGCUUGUCAUUAAGAUUCAAUGGUGCGCAGGGGACCGGGGUUCAAUUCCCCGUCGAGGAG
rnacentral:tRNA from 1 species